UAUGUCUAGGUAGGUUAAUAAACACAAACCGUCAGUGUUUGUAUGGGUUAGAAGGAGCGUGGAAGUGUCUACACCUUUAGUGAACGUCUACCGUUAUGUUGCCGUUGUGAAACAGUUACCAUUCACGUUCGGUUUCCGUAUUUGCUGGAUACACACAUAUUUCGAACGGCGUCAAUACAAAACACCCUCCAGCAAUGUCUGGGUCGGACAUCAAAUUAUUCUGCGCCGAAACAGUGAAGAGCUGCACAAAUUUCAUCUAUCUCUUCGGUUUGAAUUUCUUCUUUGGAUGCAUAAUAUUCAUCAUGAUUGUCAAGCACAUGCUCGAAAAUAUCAACAUAGAAAACGGAAGAAACUAUUACAGAUGUGCAAUGUUUUAAGGACGCAAGCAACAAGACUGAUGGAUUGUUUAUUUAAUCCUGUUACAUUUUAUAAAACUUAUACCAAUGCAUUAUUACCUGAUUUCAAUUAGUUUUUCUAUUUGUUAGACUUGAAGUACCUAUUACUAUGUUUAUUUUAGAUGUAUUUGUAUCAAAGUAUAUUUAUUAUUGUGAUAUUUCAACUAAAUAAAUAGUAAAUGAACAA